CUUUACAAUAAAGAGAGAGAGGUUCAUUUCUACGGAGUCAUAUCCAUUAAAUACUGGUAGUCGUUAGCAAAACACUGCCCGCCUCUCCGCCCGCCGCUCAUUAUUAUUGCCUGUGAUGUCUUCGUGGGCUAAUACCACUUUUUUACCGAUUCACAUUUAUCGGAGAGAGGGAUUCAUGAAGGCUUCUUAGCUUUA
ensembl:ncRNA F53B6.10 ncRNA